UGGAAUAGUUGCAGGGUGCUACAGAAGUC
rnacentral:piRNA from 1 species